GUGGAUCCCGCCGGAGGUCACUGCUAUUGGAGUUCGAUUAAGCCAUGCGAGUCAAGAGUUCUUCGUGAACUCGGCGGACUGCUCAGUAACACGUGGGUAAUCUGCCCUCGGGUCAGGGAUAACCCCGGGAAACUGGGAAUAAUACCUGAUAGGUGAAGAUGUCUGGAACGAUACUUCGCCCAAAGUUCCGGCGCCCGAGGAUGAGCCUGCGGCCGAUUAGGUAGUUGGCGGUGUAAGGGACCACCAAGCCCGUGAUCGGUACGGGUGUUGAGAGACAUAGCCCGGAGAUGGGGGCUGAGACACGGCCCCAGGCCCUACGGGGCGCAGCAGGCGCGAAAACUACGCAAUGCGCGAAAGCGUGACGUGGGAACUCCAAGUGCCUUGCCUUAGGGUAAGGCUUUUAAUUAGUGUAAGUAGCUAAAAGAAUAAGGGCUGGGUAAGACCGGUGCCAGCCGCCGCGGUAACACCGGCAGCCCAAGUGGUGACCGUUUUUAUUGGGCCUAAAGCGUUCGUAGCCGGUUUGGUAAGUCUUUGGGUAAAUCCUCCAGCUUAACUGAAGGAAUUCCGAAGAUACUGCCAGACUUGGAGUUGAGAGAGGUCAGAGGUACCUCCGGGGUAGGGGUGAAAUCCUAUAAUCCUGGGGGGACCACCAGUGGCGAAGGCGUCUGACUAGAGCAAGCUCGACGGUGAGGGACGAAAGCCAGGGGCGCGAACGGGAUUAGAUACCCCGGUAGUCCUGGCUGUAAACGCUGCGCGCUAGGUGUUGCAUGCUCUACGAGGGCGUGCAGUGCCGAAGAGAAGUUGAUAAGCGUGCCGCCUGGGAAGUAUUACCGCAAGGUAGAAACUUAAAGGAAUUGGCGGGGGAGCACCACAAGGGGUGGAGUAUGCGGUUCAAUUGGAUUCAACGCCGGAAAGGGGGAAU
rnacentral:rRNA from 1 species